rnacentral:misc_RNA from 1 species
AAUUACUGACACUGCAAUCUAACUCAAAAGGAGUAAAAGAUUCCUUAUUUUUCUUUAGCGGAUCCAACUCAACAUUUGUUCUUCCAGCGUCGUACUCAUAGAUACCUAACCUUGAAGGUACUGGAAAAGUAGGGCUCCAUUCCAUUGAGUCAUCUGCAGAGGACCUUUUUAGCUGGUCUGCGGAUGGUUCUCGUUUAUCCCA